UGUGCCUACGGGGCGCAGCAGUAGGGAAUUUUCGUCAAUGGGCGCAAGCCUGAACGAGCAAUGCCGCGUGAACGAGGAAGGUCUUCGGAUCGUAAAGUUCUGUUGAAGGGGAAAAAGAGCGGAGAGAGGAAAUGGUCUCCGAUUGAUAUUACCCUUCGAGGAAGUCACGGCUAACUACGUGCCAGCAGCCGCGGUAAUACGUAGGUGUCGAGCGUUAUCCGGAAUGAUUGGGCGUACCGGGUGCGUAGGCGGCCUGCUAAGUCUGGAGUGAUA
rnacentral:rRNA from 1 species